UUUCUACAUGGGAAUGAACGUCUCCCUUGGCUUUGCCAGAACCGCAUUUUAUGCUGAUGACUUCUGCGAUCUC
rnacentral:ncRNA from 2 species